GCGGCGGUCCCAUGGCAAAACUAAGACCGUUGCCGAAUCAAAGACUGUUCUGCCGAGUUCUUUGAGGAAGGAAAGAGAGCUUUACAGAUGCUCCUCACCCCUUGGCUGAAACCCUUCUAAUUUAGUGUACCCUACGUGCACAACACAUGUGGAAUUCCUGGUCUCUGGCAGCGUUUGGAACUGCCGAUUGGUUCAUCUCAGCCUAUGCUGCCCUUCAGUCCCAUCACUUUUUGGCCCUGACGGGGACAUGGCUCACCCCAGAGAACACUGCUGCUCUCUCCUCAUCUGACUACGUUUUCUCUCAUAGAGCAAGAGCAUCUAGUUGUCGCGGUAGUGGCACAGGGCUACUAAUUUUUCCUAACUGGAGAUUUUCUCUUUUCUCCCUCUCUCACCUGUCCAUCUCCUCAUUUGAAUUCUGUGCUGUCACUGUCACUUGUACACUCAAGCUUAAUACCCUCUCUACUCCGUACUGGUGACUCUCACUUUACCUUCUCUGUUAACAGCCUCUCUACUCUGCACCGGUGCCUCCCUCUCUACUCUGUACCGGUGCCUCUUACUUUUCCAAAUUACUCCUAACAAAGGCUUGGAAAUAACAGGAAUCAUGUUGCCAUGCAAACCAUGCAGCUUGCUUUUGAAUCAGCGAGACAGCUGGAAGGUGUGAGGUCUGAAAAUGACAUGGCACAUUUUGAAUGCGUCUCUAUUGAUUUCCAAUCAUCUGCAAUUAACCGGGCCGUGUGAGUGCGGAACUGGGAUGUAAACGGAGAAAUGCCCAUCGGAAUAUGUUUGGUUUCACAGCACGCUAAUGCUUUCCAUCCACACUCCGAUUGUCAAAAUUUUUUCCCCCUGUGAUGGUGAUGGGUAAAGGUUUUUGAAUGGUUUUCUUAGCAGCAAAUUGUCUGCAAAUUGUCAGCAAAUUGUUUUCUGUUUUUUAGAGUACCUGUAACCUGAAUAUACAGCAAUGUGAACAUGCAUGAAAUUACCCUGAAGUUACUCUCUCUCUGAAAGACUUGGCACUUACUAUCCUAGCUGACAAUGAGUCUAAUUGCAGUGUGUGGGGUUUUGUCAAUGACAGACAGAAUUGUGUGCAGGCACAGCUCGCUGACAUCAUCACAGUGCCUGGGCUAAUAGAAUAGGCUUUGAUUAAAUUGUGUUAAUGAGCAACUGGAUCUGGCUGCUGGGUAAUUGAAUUAGAACCUAGCUCAACCUCCAAUGGGACGACAGGAGCAACAGCUGCUGGGAGCUAGGAGGACGGGAGGGCAAAACAGAGGUUAUUUAUAUGUAUGGAGACAUGGAGAAUAGAAACAUAGGAUAAGGAGCGAGAACCCUAACUGGACAAAGGAGAGAACUCACCAGGCAAAGUAAUGUUGAAUACAUUUUUAUCGACGCCAUAUUUGAUAUUUUUUCAACAUACUAAAGUUUUUUGGGCUGAAUUUACAAAAAGGUCAGGCUUUAGCCCGGUUGGCUGCACUCUGGUGACACCACACAUGUUUUUUCAAGCUUCUAUCUCCCAUCCUCAGACAUACACACAGAUAAAGGUCUUAUCCCCGAUGGGCCAUGCAGCAUAUUUGAAGUGGACCGCCUUAUCAAUCCCCUCCAUCAACUAGCCUGGAUGAGAGGAGGAGAGGAGGGAGAAGACUGAGGAAGGAUGCUGUAUACAUAGGAGGGUCAGGAAAAAAAGGAGAGAAUGAAUGGUAGGAGGAGGGGAAGGAGACAGGAGGUUUAAAGGUAGGAGGAAGGAGACAUGAAAGUAGAAGGAGGAGGGGAAGGAGACAGGAAGGUGGAAGGGGACAGGAGGUUUAAAGAUAGGAGUGAAGGAGACAGGAGGGUAAAAGGAGGAGGGGAAGGAGACAGCAGGGUUAAAGGUGGAAGGAGACAUGAAGGUAGGAGGAGGAGGGGAAGGAGACAGGAAAGUGGAAGGGGACAGAAGGGUUAAAGAUAGGAGUGAAGGAGACAGGAGGGUAAAAGGAGGAGGUGAAGGAGACAGUAGGGUUAAAGGUGGAAGGAGACAUGAAGGUAGGAGACAGGAGGGUAAAAGGAGGAGGGGAAGGAGACAGUAGGGUUAAAGGUGGAAGGAGACAUGAAGGUAGGAGGAGGAGGGGAAGGAGACAGAAAGGUGGAAGGGGACAGGAGGGUUAAAGAUAGGAGUGAAGGAGACAGGAGGGUAAAAGGAGGAGGGGAAGAAGACAGCAGGGUUAAAGAUGGAAGGAGACAUGAAGGUAGAAGGAGACAGGAAGGUGGAAGGGAACAGGAGGGUUAAAGAUAGGAGUGAAGGAGACAGGAGGGUAAAAGGAGGAGGGGAAGGAGACAGCAGGGUUAAAGGUGGAAGGAGACAUGAAGGUUGACGGAGGAGGGGAAGGAGACAGGAAGGUGGAAGGGGACAGGAGGGUUAAAGAUAGGAGUGAAGGAGACAGGAGGGUAAAAGGAGGAGGGGAAGGAGACAGCAGGGUUAAAGGUGGAAGGAGACAUGAAGGUUGAAGGAGGAGGGGAAGGAGACAGCAGGGUUAAAGGUGGAAGGAGACAUGAAGGUUGACGGAGGAGGGGAAGGAGACAGGAAGGUGGAAGGGGACAGGAGGGUUAAAGAUAGGAGUGAAGGAGACAGGAGGGUAAAAGGAGGAAGGGAAGGAGACAGGAGGGUUAAAUGUAGAAGAAGGAGUGGAAGGAGACAGGAGCAGUGGCGACCCGUCAAUUAGGGCAGGUAAGAGCCCCACCUGUUUUGGGCCUCACAUUUUUGGGGGAAAAAUAAUAAUUGAAACAAAAAUAUGGCCACAGAUAAAAUGUCAUGCCCUAAUGUUUCACCUGUCCUUGUGCUAAUUGAGUCUUCGCAGGUUCCUGUGGUAUUGGGAUUCUCUUGGCUCUAGCAACACAAUCCCUAAUGCCAUCGUGGGCUGGAGCCCAUUCUGCCACACUCAUUGCCUGAAAUCAGCUCUGCCUGCCCCGGGACUUCUUCCUAGGGGCUUGAAAAUUGCCCCAGACCUCUCCGCCAUUCCCGCGGAGUACCAGGACCUCUGGGAGGGGUUCAGUAAGGCCCG
rnacentral:lncRNA from 1 species